rnacentral:rRNA from 1 species
GGGGAAUUUUCCGCAAUGGGCGAAAGCCUGACGGAGCAAUCCCGCGUGGAGGAUGACACCUUUCGGGGCGUAAACUUCUUUUCUGAGGGAAGAAAUUUUGACGGUACCUCAGGAAUAAGCGACGGCAAAUUCCGUGCCAGCAGCCGCGGUAAUACGGAAGUCGCAAGCGUUAUCCGGAAUUAUUGGGCGUAAAGCGUUCGAAGGCGGUCAAGAGGGUCUGAUAUUAAAUACCUGCGGCUCAACCGAGGUUUCGUAUCGGAAACCGCUUGACUAGAGGGAGACAGAGGCAACUAGAAUUCCCAUUGUAGGGGUAAAAUCCGUAGAUAAUGGGAGGAAUACCGAAAGCGAAGGCAGGUUGCUGGGUCUUUCCUGACGCUGUGCGAACGAAAGCGUGGGGAGCAAAAGGGAUUAGAUACCCCUGUAGUC